GCUAUACAUGCAGUCGAGCGAACAGAUGAAGUGCUUGCACUUCUGACGUUAGCGGCGAACGGGUGAGUAACACGUAAGGAAUCUACCUAUAAGCGGGGGAUAACAUUCGGAAACGGGUGCUAAUACCGCAUAAUAUCUUCUUCCGCAUGGAAGAAGAUUGAAAGACGGCUCUGCUGUCACUUAUAGAUGACCUUGCGGUGCAUUAGUUAGUUGGUGGGGUAACGGCCUACCAAGACGAUGAUGCAUAGCCGACCUGAGAGGGUGAUCGGCCACAUUGGGACUGAGACACGGCCCAAACUCCUACGGGAGGCAGCAGUAGGGAAUCUUCCGCAAUGGGCGAAAGCCUGACGGAGCAAUGCCGCGUGAGUGAAGAAGGCCUUCGGGUCGUAAAACUCUGUUAUAAGAGAAGAACAAAUUGUAGAGUAACUGCUACAGUCUUGACGGUAUCUUAUCAGAAAGCCACGGCUAACUACGUGCCAGCAGCCGCGGUAAUACGUAGGUGGCAAGCGUUGUCCGGAUUUAUUGGGCGUAAAGGGAGCGCAGGUGGUUUCUUAAGUCUGAUGUGAAAGCCCACGGCUUAACCGUGGAGGGUCAUUGGAAACUGGGAAACUUGAGUACAGAAGAGGAAUGUGGAACUCCAUGUGUAGCGGUGGAAUGCGUAGAUAUAUGGAAGAACACCAGUGGCGAAGGCGACAUUCUGGUCUGUUACUGACACUGAGGCUCGAAAGCGUGGGGAGCAAACAGGAUUAGAUACCCUGGUAGUCCACGCCGUAAACGAUGAGUGCUAGGUGUUGGAGGG
rnacentral:rRNA from 1 species